UUUGAACUUUGAAUUCUGGUCCUCUGACUCCAAAUUAAAUGAAGUUCAAGGUCCUUCUCCUCUACUUACCCUUGAACACUCCAGUGACCCGAUGGCUCUGAAGUUCUGAUAUAGGCAGUAAUGGUCCCACUGGGUGUACCAGGCCAACAAAGGCCAAUGUUGGUUAUUUCAGCCUAGGAGAGAACACUCUAUUAUAUAGGGAGAGGUGAUUGUCAAUGAUAUUAAUAGAGUCUUCCAAGAAUAGGAAAGAGAAGGUGUAUCCUGUGGCAAAGAUGACCACAUCAAUGUACUCCACAAUGCUGCCAUAUUCAAAAAUGGCUGCUGUCUCUGUGAACUCCUUCACAUUUGGUUUCAUCAUUAUUCUUCCAGAAAUGAUGUGGUUGGGUAGGUUGUCAGUGAUGCUUAUUUGAGAGUUUAGAAAUCUUCAUGACAAAGGGAGAUGGUACUUAUUUCAUUCACCCAUUUAUUCCUUCUUUCCUCAAAAUAGUCAUGACUUUUGAGUGCUGAUGGAAACUUUCUAGCUCUUCCCCUCUUCAGACCACUAUACUUCUUGAAUUGAGAUCCAACAUUUGGUGGAUAGAUAAAGUUGUCAUCAGCAUCACUUAUCCUAAUCUCUUGCCAUUCCUUUUAUUUCUUUCUUAUGAAUGUGAAUGGGGUCAAAUAUGUUGAUGUAUGCCUGUAAUAGCUGUUACUAGAGAAGGCUAAGGUUUAGGGAAUUCCUUGAGUUUGGGAGUUCUAAACUGAAGUAGGGCUAAAGCAAAUGGAGAGUCUUCACUGAGCCAGGCACUAAUAUGCUAUGAAGAAUAGAAUAUGACCUCCUUGAACAAAAAACUCUAUCUUCCAACUCCAGGCAUUUUCACAGCCUUUUUCCUUUGCCUGAAAUGUUCUCCUGCCUUGUUUCUGCCUCCUGGAUUCCCUGACUUCCUUCAAGUCUCAGGUCAAGGACUCACUCCUGCCUGAGACUCAGAAAGCAUGACAACUAGAAAAGGAGAGAGAUUUGUGAGUAAAUUGGGGGUGGAGGACAUUGGAGAAGAGAGAAGGAAACAUACACAAAGCAAUUAUGCCAGACUUUGGAGGGAGACAAAGGCAACAAUGAAAAGGAAAUCUUCCACAAGAUCUUUUCACAUUCAAAGGAAACCCAUGGAGGACCAUUGCUGUUCUUUAUGUUAUCUUCAACUUGAAUCCCUUGAAGAUUUACAACCAGAGAGCAUUGCUAGGAGAAUACUUUUCAUGAAAAGAUGAUUCUUUUAUAUCAGGGAGCAGUUUGAAAUCAUUAAAAAAAUACUAAGCAAU
rnacentral:lncRNA from 1 species